GUAGGGGGCAAGCGUUGUCCGGAUUUAUUGGGCGUAAAGAGCGUGUAGGCGGCCAUGUAGGUCCGUUGUGAAAACUCGAGGCUCAACCUCGAGACGCCGAUGGAAACCAUGUGGCUAGAGUCCGGAAGAGGAGAGUGGAAUUCCUGGUGUAGCGGUGAAAUGCGCAGAUAUCAGGAAGAACACCCGUGGCUAAGGCGGCUCUCUAGUACGGUACUGACGCUGAGACGCGAAAGCGUGGGGAGCGAACAGGAUUAGAUACCCUGGUAGUCCACGCCGUAAACGAUGGGUGCUAGGUGUAGGGGGUGUCGACUCCCUCUGUGCCGAAGCUAACGCAUUAAGCACCCCGCCUGGGGAGUACGGCC
rnacentral:rRNA from 1 species